AUCGCUUCUCAGCCCUUUGGCUAAGAUCAAGUGUAGUAUCUGUUCUUAUCAGUUGAAUAAUGCAAGUACAGUGGGGCCUUGACUCACAAGUGUCCCGACUAACGAGUUUUUCGAGAUACAAGCCAUCUCUCGGCCAAUUUUU
rnacentral:snRNA from 1 species